UUCUGUUACCUUUGUUGCCUAUCAUUGCUUGACUGGCUCUCUCAAAUGCCUGUAUACCAAUGCACGCAGCAUGGGGAAUAAGCAGGAAGAGUUAGAGAUCUGUGUGCGGUCGCAGGGCCAUGAUCUCAUUGCAGUGACAGAGACAUGGUGGGAUAGUUCACAUGACUGGGAUGCUGUCAUGGAUGGCUAUGUGCUUUUUAGGAAAGACAGGCCAGGAAGGCGAGGUGGUGGAGUUGCUCUUUAUGUGAGGGAGCAACUAGAAUGUAUGGAGCUCUGCCUAGGGGUGGAUGAAGAGCAAGUUGAGAGCCUAUGGGUAAGGAUUAACGGGCAGGGUAACAUGGGUGACACUGUUGUGGGGGUCUACUACAGGCCACCUGACCAGGAGGAAGUCAUCGAUGAGGCCUUCUACAGACAGCUGGAAGAAGCCUCACGAUCACAGGCCCUGGUUCUCAUGGGAGACUUCAACCACCCUGACAUCUGUUGGGAAGACAGCACAGCUAGGCACAAACAGUCAAAGAGGUUCCUGCAGAGCAUUGAUGAUAAUUUCUUGACCCAGGUGGUGGAGACGCCAACGAGGAGAGGUGCAAUGCUAGACCUUGUACUAACGAACAAAGAAGGUCUAGUUGGAGAUGUGAAGGUUGGGGGCAGCCUUGGCUGCAGUGACCAUGAGAUGGUGGAGUUCAGGAUCCUGCGAGGAGGGAGCAGGGCAAUGAGUAGGAUUGCAACGCUGGACUUCAGGAGAGCUGACUUUGGCCUCUUCGGGGACCUACUUAGGGGAAUCUCCUGGGGUAGGGCCCUAGAAGGAAGAGGGGUCCAAGAGAGCUGGUUAAUAUUCAAGCGUCACUUCCUCCAGGCUCAGGAUCAGUGCAUCCCUCUGAGGAAGAAGUUCAGCAAAGCGGGCAGGAGACCUGCAUGGAUGAGCAAGGAACUCCUGGCCAAACUCCAGCAGAAGAAGGAAGUGUACAGAAUGUGGAAAAGGGGACAGGCCACUUGGGAGGAAUACAGGGACGUUGUCAGAGCGUGCAGGGAUGCGACAAGGAAGGCUAAGGCCCAGCUGGAAUUAAAUCUGGCAAGGGAUGUCAA
rnacentral:lncRNA from 1 species